CGUUAGCGGCGGACGGGUGAGUAACACGUGGAUAACCUACCUAUAAGACUGGGAUAAACUUCGGGAAACCGGAGCUAAUACCGGAUAAUAUAUUUAACCGCAUGGUUCAAUAGUGAAAGACGGUUUUGCUGUCACUUAUAGAUGGAUCCGCGCCGCAUUAGCUAGUUGGUAAGGUAACGGCUUACCAAGGCAACGAUUCGUAGCCGACCUGAGAGGGUGAUCGGCCACACUGGAACUGAGACACGGUCCAGACUCCUACGGGAGGCAGCAGCC
rnacentral:rRNA from 1 species